AUUGAACGCUGGCGGCGGGCUUAACACAUGCAAGUCGAGCGAGCGGCGGACGGGGGAGCAAUGUCUGGGAAACCGCCUGAUGGAGGGGGAUAACAACUGGAAACGGUAGCUAAUACCGCAUACCAUCAGAUGUGCCCAGUUGGGAUUAGCUAGUAGGUGGGGUAAUGGCUCACCAAGGCGAAGAUACCUAGCUGGUAUGAGAGGAUGACCGGCCACACUGGAACUGAGACACGGUCCAGACUCCUACGGGAGGCAGCAGUAGGGAAUCUUGCACAAUGGGCGCAAGCCUGAUGCAGCCAUGCCGCGUGUGUGAAGAAGGCCUUCGGGUUGUAAAGCUCUUUUGUCGGUGAGGCGGUACUCGCCCAGAAAGCACCGGCUAACUCCGUGCCAGCCGCCGCGGUAAUUC
rnacentral:rRNA from 1 species